AUUGAACGCUGGCGGCAGGCUUAACACAUGCAAGUCGAGCGGUAGCACAAGAGAUCUUGCUCUCUGGGUGACGAGCGGCGGACGGGUGAGUAAUGUCUGGGAAACUGCGUGAGGGAGGGGGAUAACUACUGGAAACGGUAGCUAAUACCGCAUAACGUGGCAAGACCAAAGAGGGGGACCUUCGGGCCUCUUGCCAUCAGAUGUGCCGAGAUGGGUUUAGCUAGUAGGUGGGGUAAUGGCUCACCUAGGCGACGAUCCCUAGCUGGUCUGAGAGGAUGACCAGCCACACUGGAACUGAGACACGGUCCAGACUCCUACGGGAGGCAGCAGUGGGGAAUAUUGGACAAUGGGCGAAAGCCUGAUGCAGCCAUGCCGCGUGUGUGAAGAAGGCCUUCGGGUUGUAAAGCACUUUCAGCGAGGAGGAAGGUGGUGAACUUAAUACGUUCAUCAAUUGACGUUACUCGCAGAAGAAGCACCGGCUAACUCCGUG
rnacentral:rRNA from 1 species